rnacentral:rRNA from 1 species
GAUGAACGCUGGCGGCGUGCUUUACACAUGCAAGUCGAACGCUGAAGCCCCGUUCGGGGGCCGAUGAGUGGCGAACGGGUGAGUAACACGUGGGUAACCUACCUCGCACAUCGGGAUAAGCCCGGGAAACUGGGGUACUAAUACCGAAUAUGACUUAUCACCACAUGGUGGUAAGGUAGGAAAGUUCCGGCGGUGCGAGAUGGACCCGCGGCCUA